rnacentral:rRNA from 1 species
AGUGAACGCUGGCGGUAGGCCUAACACAUGUAAGUCGAACGGCAGCACAGUAAGAGCUUGCUCUUACGGGUGGCGAGUAGCGGACGGGUGAGGAAUACAUCGGAAUCUACUUUUUCGUGGGGGAUAACGUAGGGAAACUUACGCUAAUACCGCAUACGACCUACGGGUGAAAGCAGGGGAUCUUCGGACCUUGCGCGAUUGAAUGAGCCGAUGUCGGAUUAGCUAGUUGGCGGGGUAAAGGCCCACCAAGGCGACGAUCCGUAGCUGGUCUGAGAGGAUGAUCAGCCACACUGGAACUGAGACACGGUCCAGACUCCUACGGGAGGCAGCAGUGGGGAAUAUUGGACAAUGGGCGCAAGCCUGAUCCAGCCAUACCGCGUGGGUGAAGAAGGCCUUCGGGUUGUAAAGCCCUUUUGUUGGGAAAGAAAAGCAGCAGGUUAAUACCCCGCUGUUCUGACGGUACCCAAAGAAUAAGCACCGGCUAACUUCGUG